rnacentral:lncRNA from 1 species
CCGCCCCGGCCCCGGCCCCGCCUCGGCCCCGCCCCCGGCCCCGGCCCUGGCCCCGCCCCCAGCCCCGGCCCUGGUCCCACCCCCAGCCCCUCGCUCAGGCUUCGGGAGUUGUCGGCUGCGCGCAGCGCGGGCUCUCCUGCCACUUCCCCUCCCCCCAUCCCGGCCGUGGCCUCGCGCAGUCCGCGGGCGUCGCUUCUGCAGGUCGGUCCCCAGGCUGCUGUGGUCCGCAGCAGUCCCGGGACGCUUUGGCACUCCGCGCGGAGGUGGGAAGAGCAAGGCCCAGAGGAACUUGCCCAAGAGGUGGCAGUGAGCCGAUGGUGCCACGCACCCUGCUAACGCCCUUUAACUCACACUCCUGUUGGAUCCUCAGCCUACAGAUGAAGACAUGGACUGUGAGGGGCCACGGGUCCUCCCCGGGUGACUCGGCUGGCUAUGGAGCUUGGCCCCAGGACAGCGUCCCCACUGUCGCUUCACCCUGCUGCUCCUCCCAGGCCACCUGUACCCUUCCCUGCCCCUCAGAGAGGAUCUCCCAGUCAGGAGUCAGGAUGGAGCCAGAACGGCUGGAUGCAGCAGAGGCGGACCCCCGCAUCAGACCUCACACCAGCCUGCAGUCCUGGGACCAGCAGUCCUCACAAGACCACCACUGCUCUCGGUGCUGCAUCUACCCCACCUCCGUGUACCCAGGAAGGGGGAAGCAUCAUCAUCCAAGCUGGCUGCUGGCCUAGCAAACGCUGUUGUUAUCACCACGGGAAUAGCAAACCUGUAAAACAAGAACCAACCACUAUGAAAAAGGAGCAUUCAGAGAACAGGAAAGAACAUUCGAAAACGUAAGCAUUCACAGUAAUCAUGAAAAUCCAACCAAGACUGAAUAGCAGAAUGGACACACCUGAGAACCAAAUCAAAGCGACAGACGGAAAUUAUGAGAGAAAAAUGCCAGAGCCACGGUUCAAUGGAAGGAAUUGAAUUCACAUGCAGAAACGAAGAUGGAUCAAAAUCACCUUCCCAGUGAAAUCCGGCCCCUCCUCGCUCAGGCAGAGAGAUGUUGAUGGAUAACAGGGAGCUG